GAAAAACAGCCUGGUUUUGGCUCAUAUUAUCUCCUCCUCCUCUCCAGCAUGACAACAUCCAUACCAGGCGAGCAUGCAUCUUGAAGUCCUUGUGCAUCUACCUAAACGAAGACUAUGAGAAGUUAAUAAAGGAGUACUUGGAUACGGACAGUGAGGCAAAAAGCUGCAUGGAGCAAACUGUGAUGGGGGUGUACGUCAUCCAGAAGGAGGGUGCUGAACCUGAAGAUGACCCAGAGGACAUUGGUGUCCUGAUUGAGGGUGUGGAGGCUCUCACUGAUUUGGGUAACAUUGCACAAGCAUGUGCUCUGUUGUUUGGACUCAUAUACUGUUUGAACCUGAGCUACCCACCAGAACUUAAAUGCACCUUUGAAGUCCUCCAGAAGAUACUUUUAAAUCUUGAUGGACAAAAGCUGUCUUCAAAGGCACAGUUUCUGAAAAACAAGCUUAUGGGGUGAGAGCACUUGAAAACGACUGAUAGGUCUUUCCAAUAUAUAAUGUUAAUAUUUGAGUUGUUUAUAUUUCUUUCUUUCAUUUAAAUUUUUUUUUUUUAAGUUUUUGGAUUCUCUCUGUUGGGCAAUUCACCUUUUAUACAGCACUGCAGAUGAUUUUUGUUUGUCCUUAUAUAGAUGGCUCAAAAUGGAUCAGAAGUACUGUUCUGUUAAUUAUUUUUCAUCUAAUUUUGAGUUUGUAGUAUAGGUACUAAUUCACACAUACAUAAUGCUGUCAUGUGUUGAAUGAAGAUAUCAUUGGAGUGCUUUAGUGCCCCCCUCUUCUUUUUUUUUUUCUUUUUUUUUCUUUUCUCCUUUGUAGAACAAAGUUACCAUUUUACAGAAACUGCAUUGAAGGGUUAACCCCAAGAAAUGUUCAUUGUUGUUUUUAGCUUCACUGUUACUAUGUUGUGUUUAUGUGUCAAGGGCCUGUAAAGUUUAAGACCACUGCCACCUGGUAAGUUCACUGUAUUAUUUUAAUGUGUCCAUUUUGCUUGCUAGCAUGUUUUAAAACACAGCAAAACUAUAUUGCUAGCUGUGGAGGACUGCAAC